rnacentral:sRNA from 1 species
UGCCUGUCGCCGAGCCUGGCAUCUCCGAGCCCCCGCGCGGGGGGCUGCCGCCCAGCGCUGAUUGACAGCCCGCCUCGCCAAUGCCUGGAGGGAGAAAGGAGGUACAGAUAUGCAACAAUAACUAUAUGGAGAUGUAUAUUAGACUCCUGGAGCUGAAUAUCACUGUGCAGAAGAUGGCUGAUGGUUUGAGUAUGGACGAGUGAAGACAUGGGACAGAAGCCCAGCCAGUCAGACAGCCUCAGAGGAUGCAGAACAGCCUGGGAACAGAGAGGAGGCUCAAGACAAUGAAAACCGAUACCACGGGAGGAAGCACUUCUGAAGGAGAAAUGGAUUCAGUUCCAACAGGCUUGGAGACAUUUAGCAAAAUAUAAAUAAAAAGAUAAGACAACGUGCUAAGUAAUCAUUAUUGAGGACCUUGCUGAGAACAUAUGAUGCCAGGCUGAGGAACGUGGGGUAUACCUACCUGGCAGGGCACCUAGCGCAGCACACUCGGGGCUCUGGAUUUAUGCCCCGCACCAGAGAGGGUAAAGGGAAUAAGGACAGACUGAGAAGGAGAGCAAGAGAAUCCUGCUUUCCUGAGACUCUGAGAGGGAAGAGCGAGUCUGGGUGGAACGCUCCCUCCACAGAGCCUUACCUGGACAGCCUACAUCCCAUGCGGAGCCGUGAAGACCCCUAGUGAGGCAUCUUUGUGGGAAGCAAAAGUAGUCAAGGAAGUUCUCACAUCAACUUUGUUGGCGCCAGUCUUACCCAGAGUCAGGCUGACAGGUCCAGGCCGUGCUCUCUUUAUCCUAUAGUCUCAUCUCCUAGGGCAUCUUAUGAAUGUGAAACAUGAGGAAAUAAAAAUGAGUCCCCUACAGAGAAAAGCCGUCGCACCUACCUGUAGGGGAAGACCAGGUGCUGGGGCCUGCCCUUCAGACUUGAGGCCUUAGCCAACGGCCAUUUACAGUCACCCUGACUGAGGUGGUUUGAAUGUUCUGGGCCCAUAGAGAGUGGUACCAUUAGGCUGUGUGGCCUUGUCAGAGGAAGUGUAUCACUGUGGGGGUGGGCUUUGGAGGCCUCCACCUAUGCUCAGGCUCUGCCCAUUGUGGCAAAGAUCUUUUUCCUAGCUGUCUGGGAUGGCAGUCUUCUGGCUGCCUUUGGAUCACAAUGUAGAACGUUAGGCUCCUCCAGCCCCAUGGCUGCCUGGAUGCUGCCAUGCUUCCUGCCAUGACAAUAAUGGCAGGAACUGUAAGCCAGUCCCAUUUAAACGUCAUCCUUGGUCAUGUCUCUUCAUAGCAAUGGAAACCCUAAGACACUAAGACAUGUCACCACACCUGACGACGCCAGUGUCUAGGAAGUGACUACUACCACCUUUGUGACCUUCAUCUUUUUACUGUCACAGCUACCAACCCCCAGGCCACAUCUCCCAUGUUACAGCUCCACUUCUCCGCACUUCGUUUGAAGUCUCUACUUUCCAUAGCUCUGACACUUUUGGGCUGCAGCUGCUACUUAACACCCUUGUCUGCUGCUCACCCUUCUUUCUCUGAAAUUCACCACUCUCUCCUGCCCUUUGAUCAGAGCUCAUGAUGAUCAGUGUGUUUUAGAUAGCUUGGGUUCUUUCUUUCAGUCACAUGUCCCUGGCAAAAUCCUGACCUGGGAUUUGCCUACGUCCCUCUUAAGCAAGUGGGCCUCACUGCCUUAUGGCAGCCCCACCCCUCCCUAGUCCUCAGGAAUGCUUGGUUAUUACUCUUCCCCUGCAGCCAGCUCGCUCCCUCAAGCCUCCCAGCCUCCCACUGCUUCUUCCUACUUACUGUGAAUGGUGAGUAGACUUUCGAGAAAACAAACCUUUCUCUUCUACCCCUGGGAUCCCAACUCCCUCCCUCCCUUCUUCUGCUACAUCCUCAGGUUCUGCUACCUAAGCUUCGCCCUUCUCUACCUGUCACCCCUCAAACACCUGAUGUUAGCCAAUCGUUUUCAGUAAUUGCGCCAAUGUCUGUUUUCAUUGUCGAAUCUCUGAAAGGACCUGAUCUCUUCCCCACAGCAGUCAUCGCUGUGAGAACUUCCUGCUUAGUUCUCUGUUCACCUGAUCUCUGGUCUCCACAGAACACACUUAAGUCCCACAAAAGCAAGGACCGCGUCCAUUGUAAGUCCCUAGCAUGACGCUCGGAACCUUGUAGGUAAAGUGUUGAACUUUGGAUUGACUGAGCCAUCUGUAAGAUUUUGGCUAAGUCAGUCAUUUUUUGAAUGUAAGCAUCCUUUAUUCCAUUAAAUAUUUCUCUCAGAUUUAUAAAAUGAUUAUGAGAAACACUGAGUCAUUUCGUUUUGAAAACCGUAUGUUUAAACUUAGGUGUUUCCAUUUAGGUGGGUGUCUGUUAACUCCUUGCUAUGGAAGAUGAGGAAAUUAGCAUUCCCCACUUCCUUUUACUCCCCCCUUCCUGUUUUGACCAUGUCAUUAUAUAUUGGUGACAUUUGUAACAUAUAAACCUGUUCUGUAACUCUU